UACGUAGGGGGGCAAGCGUUGUCCGGAUUUAUUGGGCGUAAAGAGCGUGUAGGCGGCCAUGUAGGUCCGUUGUGAAAACUCGAGGCUCAACCUCGAGACGCCGAUGGAAAACCAUGUGGCUAGAGUCCGGAAGAGGAGAGUGGAAUUCCUGGUGUAGCGGUGAAAUGCGCAGAUAUCAGGAAGAACACCCGUGGCUAAGGCGGCUCUCUAGUACGGGUA
rnacentral:rRNA from 1 species